AGUGAACGCUGGCGGCAGGCCUAAUACAUGCAAGUCGAACGGCAGCACAGCAGAGCUUGCUCUGUGGGUGGCGAGUGGCGGACGGGUGAGGAAUACGUGGGAAUCUGCCCAGUCGUGGGGAUAACGUAGGGAAACUUACGCUAAUACCGCAUGCGCCCUUCGGGGAAAGCCGGGGACCUUCGGGCCUGGCGCGAUUGGAUGAGCCCACGUCGGACUAGCUAGUUGGCGGGGUAAAGGCCCACCAAGGCGACGAUCCGUAGCUGGUCUGAGAGGAUGAUCAGCCACACUGGAACUGAGACACGGUCCAGACUCCUACGGGAGGCAGCAGUAGGGAAUAUUGGACAAUGGGCGCAAGCCUGAUCCAGCCAUGCCGCGUGAGUGAAGAAGGCCCUCGGGUUGUAAAGCUCUUUUGUCCGGAAAGAAAAGCGCCGGGUUAAUACCCUGGUGUCCUGACGGUACCGGAAGAAUAAGCACCGGCUAACUUCGUGCCAGCAGCCGCGGUAAU
rnacentral:rRNA from 1 species